rnacentral:rRNA from 1 species
ACCGAAUAGAUACCCGGGUAGUCCACGCCCUAAACGAUGCGAACUGGAUGUUGGGUACAUUACGGUACUCAGUGUCGAAAGCUAAACGCGUUAAGUUCGCCGCCUGGGGAGUACGGUCGCAAGACUGAAACUCAAAGGAAUUGACGGGGCCCGGCACAAGCGGUGGAGUAUGUGGUUUAAUUACGAUGCAACGCGAAGAAACCUUACCCUGGCCGUUGACAUCUGUCGAAUCCUGCAGAGAUGCGGGAGUGCCGCAAGGAACGACAAGACAGGUGCUGCAUGGCUGUCGUCAGCUCGUGUCGUGAGAUGUUGGGUUAAGUCCCGCAACGAGCGCAACCCUUGUCCCUAGUUGCCAGC